ACAAAUCCUGUUGUUGUAUGUUUGUUCAUGUGGAUGACACUUCAUUUCACGUGUUCAAAUGUACACAAACACACGUUCCAUGUGCACGUUCAUUCUUGCACAUGACAUUUCUGCGAAUCGUCUGAUCAUUCGUUCAUUCAAAUCAUAACAA
rnacentral:misc_RNA from 1 species